GUGCAUGUAUAUGUGUGUGUGGUGUGUGCAGGUGUGUGUGGUGUGUGCAGGUAUGUGUGGUGUGUAGGUAGGUGUGUGUGGUGUGUGCAGGUAGGUGUGUGUGGUGUGUGUAGGUAGGUGUGUGUGGUGUGUGCAGGUGUGUGGGGUGUGUGUAGGUAGGUGUGUGUGUUGUGUACAGGUGUGCAGGUGUGUGUGGUGUGUAGGUAGGUGUGUGUGGUGUGUGUAGGUAGAUGUGUGUGGUAUGUGUAGGUAGGUGUAUGUGGUAUGUAGGUAGGUGUGUGUGGUAUGUGCAGGUGUGUGUAGUGUGUGUAGGUAGGUGUGUGUGGUAUGUGUAGGUAGGUGUGUGUGGUGUGUAGGUAGGUGUGUGUGGUAUGUGCAGGUGUGUGUGGUGUGUGCAGGUAUGCAGGUGUGUGUGGUGUGUGCAGGUGUGCAGGUGUGUGUGGUGUGUGCAGGUGUGCAGGUGUGUGUGGUAUGUGUAGGUGUGUGCAGGUGUAUGUAGGUAGGUAUGUGUGGUGUGUGCAGGUGUGUAGGUGUGUGUGGUGUGUAGGCAGGUGUGUGUGUGGUGUGUAGGCAGGUGUGUGUGGUAUGUGCAGGUGUGUGUGGUGUGUGUAGGUGUGUACGGUGUAUGAGAGGUGCA
rnacentral:lncRNA from 1 species